rnacentral:rRNA from 1 species
CUAGCCUAACUGAAAUCACAAAAUCACAGAUAGGUGCUUAUUGUGAUAACGUAAGGGAAAAAUUGAUAUUACCUUACUAUAAGUGUUGUCUAAAUAACUGGUGCCAGAAGACUCGGUAACACCAGAAACGCGAACGUUAGUCGUCUUAAACAGGCGUAAAGGGUAAGUAGGCUGCUUUAAAGGGAUUUUUAAACUAAAAGCUAAUUAAUAAAUAUUGCUUAGUAAUAUCUAGUUAUAUCUACAAUAUUACAAUUGUUAUAUCUACGAUAUAAUAAGAAGUUGCUUCGCUAUAACAAUAAGUGAAUAAUCAUUUCAAUGAUAAUUAAACUUACUGCUUGCUUGUAAGUCGUAAGACUUUCCAGCCAGCUGCUAAAAGUAAAAACUUAAAAUAUUAAAUUAAAUAAAGAUAGAUAUACUUAAAGCUAGAAUCAUAAUUGAGAUAAACCAAAUAAUACUUAAGUGUAAGGGUAAAAUCUAAAAAUACUAAGUAGAAUACUAACGGUGAAAACUUUUUAUCUAGGAGUGAUUGACGCUGAGGUACGAAAGUGAGAACAGGGAAUAGGAUUAGAUACCCAGUUACCUCUCACCGUCAACGAUGAAUGGAAGUUGUUAGUAGUUAGUCUCGUUAGUCUUGCUAGUAAUAUCUUCGAUAUAACAAGUAAGACUAACUAAACUUCAAUUAAAACUAGUGACGUUGUUAACGCGAUACCAUUCCGCCUUGAGAGUACGGUUGCAAAACUGAAACCCAAAAAAAUUAGUCGGUCUCGCGAGCA